rnacentral:rRNA from 1 species
ACGGGAGGCAGCAGUGGGGAAUAUUGCACAAUGGGGGAAACCCUGAUGCAGCGACGCCGCGUGAGUGAAGAAGUAUUUCGGUAUGUAAAGCUCUAUCAGCAGGGAAGAUAAUGACGGUACCUGACUAAGAAGCUCCGGCUAAAUACGUGCCAGCAGCCGCGGUAAUACGUAUGGAGCAAGCGUUAUCCGGAUUUACUGGGUGUAAAGGGAGUGCAGGCGGUACUUUAAGUCUGAUGUGAAAACCCGAGGCUCAACCACGGGAUUGCAUUGGAAACUGGAGAACUAGAGUGUCGGAGAGGUAAGCGGAAUUCCUAGUGUAGCGGUGAAAUGCGUAGAUAUUAGGAGGAACAUCGGUGGCGAAGGCGGCUUACUGGACGAUAACUGACGCUGAGGCUCGAAAGCGUGGGGAGCAAACAGGAUUAGAUACCCUGGUA